AGACCCGAAACCCGGUGAUCUAGCCAUGGGCAGGUUGAAGGUUGGGUAACACUAACUGGAGGACCGAACCGACUAAUGUUGAAAAAUUAGCGGAUGACUUGUGGCUGGGGGUGAAAGGCCAAUCAAACCGGGAGAUAGCUGGUUCUCCCCGAAAGCUAUUUAGGUAGCGCCUCGUGAAUUCAUCUCCGGGGGUAGAGCACUGUUUCGGCAAGGGGGUCAUCCCGACUUACCAACCCGAUGCAAACUGCGAAUACCGGAGAAUGUUAUCACGGGAGACACACGGCGGGUGCUAACGUCCGUCGUGAAGAGGGAAACAACCCAGACCGCCAGCUAAGGUCCCAAAGUCAUGGUUAAGUGGGAAACGAUGUGGGAAGGCCCAGACAGCCAGGAUGUUGGCUUAGAAGCAGCCAUCAUUUAAAGAAAGCGUAAUAGCUCACUGGUCGAGUCGGCCUGCGCGGAAGAUGUAACGGGGCUAAACCAUGCACCGAAGCUGCGGCAGCGACACUGUGUGUUGUUGGGUAGGGGAGCGUUCUGUAAGCCUGUGAAGGUGUGCUGUGAGGCAUGCUGGAGGUAUCAGAAGUGCGAAUGCUGACAUAAGUAACGAUAAAGCGGGUGAAAAGCCCGCUCGCCGGAAGACCAAGGGUUCCUGUCCAACGUUAAUCGGGGCAGGGUGAGUCGACCCCUAAGGCGAGGCCGAAAGGCGUAGUCGAUGGGAAACAGGUUAAUAUUCCUGUACUUGGUGUUACUGCGAAGGGGGGACGGAGAAGGCUAUGUUGGCCGGGCGACGGUUGUCCCGGUUUAAGCGUGUAGGCUGGUUUUCCAGGCAAAUCCGGAAAAUCAAGGCUGAGGCGUGAUGACGAGGCACUACGGUGCUGAAGCAACAAAUGCCCUGCUUCCAGGAAAAGCCUCUAAGCAUCAGGUAACAUCAAAUCGUACCCCAAACCGACACAGGUGGUCAGGUAGAGAAUACCAAGGCGCUUGAGAGAACUCGGGUGAAGGAACUAGGCAAAAUGGUGCCGUAACUUCGGGAGAAGGCACGCUGAUAUGUAGGUGAAGUCCCUCGCGGAUGGAGCUGAAAUCAGUCGAAGAUACCAGCUGGCUGCAACUGUUUAUUAAAAACACAGCACUGUGCAAACACGAAAGUGGACGUAUACGGUGUGACGCCUGCCCGGUGCCGGAAGGUUAAUUGAUGGGGUCAGCGCAAGCGAAGCUCUUGAUCGAAGCCCCGGUAAACGGCGGCCGUAACUAUAACGGUCCUAAGGUAGCGAAAUUCCUUGUCGGGUAAGUUCCGACCUGCACGAAUGGCGUAAUGAUGGCCAGGCUGUCUCCACCCGAGACUCAGUGAAAUUGAACUCGCUGUGAAGAUGCAGUGUACCCGCGGCAAGACGGAAAGACCCCGUGAACCUUUACUAUAGCUUGACACUGAACAUUGAGCCUUGAUGUGUAGGAUAGGUGGGAGGCUUUGAAGUGUGGACGCCAGUCUGCAUGGAGCCGACCUUGAAAUACCACCCUUUAAUGUUUGAUGUUCUAACGUGGACCCGUGAUCCGGGUUGCGGACAGUGUCUGGUGGGUAGUUUGACUGGGGCGGUCUCCUCCUAAAGAGUAACGGAGGAGCACGAAGGUUGGCUAAUCCUGGUCGGACAUCAGGAGGUUAGUGCAAUGGCAUAAGCCAGCUUGACUGCGAGCGUGACGGCGCGAGCAGGUGCGAAAGCAGGUCAUAGUGAUCCGGUGGUUCUGAAUGGAAGGGCCAUCGCUCAACGGAUAAAAGGUACUCCGGGGAUAACAGGCUGAUACCGCCCAAGAGUUCAUAUCGACGGCGGUGUUUGGCACCUCGAUGUCGGCUCAUCACAUCCUGGGGCUGAAGUAGGUCCCAAGGGUAUGGCUGUUCGCCAUUUAAAGUGGUACGCGAGCUGGGUUUAGAACGUCGUGAGACAGUUCGGUCCCUAUCUGCCGUGGGCGCUGGAGAACUGAGGGGGGCUGCUCCUAGUACGAGAGGACCGGAGUGGACGCAUCACUGGUGUUCGGGUUGUCAUGCCAAUGGCACUGCCCGGUAGCUAAAUGCGGAAGAGAUAAGUGCUGAAAGCAUCUAAGCACGAAACUUGCCCCGAGAUGAGUUCUCCCUGACCCUUUAAGGGUCCUGAAGGAACGUUGAAGACGACGACGUUGAUAGGCCGGGUGUGUAAGCGCAGCGAUGCGUUGAGCUAACCGGUACUAAUGAACCGUGAGGCUUAACCUU
rnacentral:rRNA from 2 species